UACGGGGGGGGCAAGCGUUGUUCGGAAUUACUGGGCGUAAAGGGCUCGUAGGCGGCCAACUAAGUCAGACGUGAAAUCCCUCGGCUUAACCGGGGAACUGCAUCUGAUACUGGAUGGCUUGAGUUCGGGAGAGGGAUGUGGAAUUCCUGGUGUAGCGGUGAAAUGCGCAGAUAUCAGGAAGAACACCCGUGGCUAAGGCGGCUCUCUAGUACGGUACUGACGCUGAGACGCGAAAGCGUGGGGAGCGAACAGG
rnacentral:rRNA from 1 species